CUAAUCCACGUGCGUUGUGGUUACUCGCCCAGAUUCAGGUUGCAGCAGUAAUCGAUGGAAUGGAUUUCUAGGGUCGUCUCCUCCGUCGUCGUCGUCGUCGUCGUGUUGCUCUUAUUCGUAUUUGGCCUUCUCUGCUGGGGCAUAUAAUAGUUGGAGAAACCAAGGAUGCUCACGCUAUGACUAGUUAGGAGAAUUUUGCUUCUUUCUCCAGAGGUGUUGCGAGUGUAGAGAAGAAGCCUGGUCAUCUUCUUGUACUUGUUUAUGGCAUAUUGGCGAGGUUCUUUGUUUGGUGAAGACUUGAUUGUGCAAACCUUUGCGAGUGUUGAAUUACAUACAACUUUUUGGAAAUUGAUACAAUUUUUGUAUCAAACAUUACAACGUUUUGGGAAUUGAUGAGGACUUGAUCAGUUCUUGUAUCAAAUCAGUUUUUGUAGCCUCAGUGGCAUAGUGCCUCAGUGCAAUUAAUCAGUGAGAAUGUGAGUUUGAGGUUUAUGUGGAAUUUGUAAUUAACUCAGGUUCUGAUAUAUCAAAGAGAUGUUUUUUUUUUUU